rnacentral:rRNA from 1 species
AUGGCAAGCGACCAUACCAACUACACGGUCUUCAUGCCGCCCACCCCAGACAACCAGCCAGGGGCCGCGUCCGCUCCCGCCUCCGGCGGCCCAACCAAGCCGGACAACCUUCCCUUGCCACGCUCGUCGGGCUCCAAGCUCGUGAACCGCCGGAGCGGCGACGAUGGCGCGGCCGGCGGCGGCAAGAUGGACCGUCGGCUUUCCCCGGUGCAGGUGGCGUCGCCGUCCAAGUCGUUGCUGGUGCGGAGCCAAACCGGGGAGUUCGACCACAACCGGUGGCUGUUCGAGACCCAGGGCACGUACGGCAUCGGGAACGCGUACUGGCCGCAGGAGGACAACGACGACGGCGCCGGCAUGGGCGGCGGCAGCGUCAAGAUGGAGGACCUCGUCGACAAGCCCUGGAAGCCGCUGAGCCGGAAGGUGGCCAUUCCUCCGGGCAUUCUAAGCCCCUACAGGUUGCUGGUGCUGGUGCGGUUCGUGGCGCUGUUUCUCUUCUUGGUAUGGCGCGCGACGAACCCCAACCCGGACGCGAUGUGGCUGUGGGGGAUCUCCAUCGUGUGCGAGUACUGGUUCGCCCUCUCCUGGCUCCUGGACCAGAUGCCCAAGCUGAACCCCAUCAACCGCGCCGCCGACCUGGCCGCGCUCCGGGAGAAGUUCGAGUCCAAGACGCCGUCCAACCCGACGGGCCGCUCCGACCUGCCGGGGCUCGACGUCUUCAUCUCCACCGCCGACCCCUACAAGGAGCCGCCGCUCGUCACCGCCAACACGCUGCUCUCCAUCCUCGCCACCGACUACCCGGUCGAGAAGCUCUUCGUCUACAUCUCCGACGACGGCGGCGCGCUGCUCACCUUCGAGGCCAUGGCGGAGGCCUGCGCCUACGCCAAGGUGUGGGUGCCCUUCUGCCGCAAGCACUCCAUCGAGCCCCGCAACCCGGAGGCCUACUUCACCCAGAAGGGCGACCCCACGAAAGGCAAGAAGCGGCCGGACUUCGUCAAGGACCGGCGGUGGAUCAAGCGCGAGUACGACGAGUACAAGGUGCGUAUCAAUGACCUCCCCGAGGCCAUCAAACGGCGCGCCAAGGCCAUGAACGCCCACGAGCGCAAAAUCGCCCGUGAGACGGCCGCCGCCUCGUCCGAUGCCGCCCCGCCCCCCGUCAAGGCCACCUGGAUGGCCGACGGCACCCACUGGCCCGGCACCUGGCUCGACUCCGCCCCCGACCACGGCAAGGGAGACCACGCCAGCAUCGUCCAGGUGAUGAUCAAGAACCCUCACCACGACGUGGUGUACGGGGACGCGGACGACCACGCGUACCUGGACUUCACCAACGUGGACGUGCGCAUCCCCAUGUUCGUGUACCUGUCGCGGGAGAAGCGGCCGGGGUACGACCACAACAAGAAGGCGGGCGCCAUGAACGCCAUGGUGCGCGCGUCCGCGGUCCUGUCCAACGGGCCCUUCAUGCUCAACUUCGACUGCGAUCACUACGUGUACAACUGCCAGGCCAUCCGGGAGGCCAUGUGCUACAUGCUCGACCGCGGCGGCGACCGCAUCUGCUACAUCCAGUUCCCGCAGCGCUUCGAGGGCAUCGACCCCUCCGACCGCUACGCCAACCACAACACCGUCUUCUUCGACGGCAACAUGCGCGCGCUCGACGGCCUCCAGGGGCCCAUGUACGUCGGCACCGGCUGCCUCUUCCGCCGCUACGCCAUCUACGGCUUCAACCCGCCGCGCGCGGUCGAGUACCACGGCUUGGUCGGCCAGACCAGGGUGCCCAUCGACCCGAACGCACGCUCUGGGGACGGCGUCGCCGACGAGCUCCGCCCGCUGUCCGACCACCCGGACCACGAGGCGCCGCAGCGGUUCGGCAAGUCCAAGAUGUUCAUCGAGUCCAUCGCCGUGGCCGAGUACCAGGGCCGGCCGCUGGCGGACCACCCCUCGGUCCGGAACGGCCGCCCGCCCGGCGCGCUGCUCAUGCCGCGGCCGCCGCUCGACGCCGCCACCGUGGCGGAGGCCGUCUCGGUGAUCUCCUGCUGGUACGAGGACAACACGGAGUGGGGGCUGCGCGUCGGCUGGAUCUACGGCUCCGUGACGGAGGACGUCGUGACCGGGUACCGGAUGCACAACCGCGGGUGGCGCUCCGUGUACUGCAUCACGAAGCGCGACGCGUUCCGGGGCACGGCGCCCAUCAACCUCACCGACCGGCUCCACCAGGUGCUCCGGUGGGCGACGGGGUCCGUGGAGAUCUUCUUCUCCAAGAACAACGCGCUGCUGGCGUCCCGCCGGCUCAUGUUCCUGCAGCGCAUGUCGUACAUCAACGUGGGCAUCUACCCGUUCACGUCCCUCUUCCUCAUCAUGUACUGCCUCCUGCCGGCGCUCUCCCUCUUCUCCGGGCAGUUCAUCGUGGCCACGCUGGACCCGACCUUCCUCUGCUAUCUCCUGCUCAUCACCAUCACGCUCGUGCUGCUGUGCCUGCUGGAGGUGAAGUGGUCCGGGAUCGGGCUGGAGGAAUGGUGGCGCAACGAGCAGUUCUGGGUGAUCGGGGGCACGUCGGCGCACCUGGCGGCCGUGCUGCAGGGCCUGCUCAAGGUGGCCGCCGGCAUCGAGAUAUCGUUCACGCUGACGGCGAAGGCGGCGGCGGAGGACGACGACGACCCGUUCGCGGAGCUGUACCUCAUCAAGUGGACGUCGCUCUUCAUCCCGCCGCUGGCCAUCAUCGGGAUCAACAUCAUAGCCAUGGUGGUGGGGGUGUCGCGCUGCGUGUACGCGGAGAUCCCGCAGUACAGCAAGCUGCUGGGCGGCGGGUUCUUCAGCUUCUGGGUGCUGGCGCACUACUACCCGUUCGCCAAGGGCCUCAUGGGGCGGCGGGGCCGCACGCCGACCAUCGUCUACGUCUGGGCGGGGCUCAUCUCCAUCACCGUCUCCCUGCUCUGGAUCACCAUCAGCCCGCCCGACGACAGGGUCUCGCAGAGCGGCAUCGAGGUGUGA